UACGUUCUCAACACCAUCACUGCCUACAUUCUCAUAGAUAGCAUCGGAAGACCAUCGCCGUUUGCGUUCUCAAGAUAGUUGCUCCAGGGUUGAAAUAGCACCCGCACGCCAAACGCUAACCACCGGUGAACAAGCACCAAAGGUCUUUGAUCGAGAGUAUUGAUGCCGAGGUUGCAUAUUGUCACGCCUACCGGGAAAGAAAUCACGUAGCUGAUUGGUUUGUGAAUUUCGCUUAUUCCAAUGAUUUGUAUCUUUUCCUCUUUUCACAUUUCUUUA